GCCAGAGCCAUAUCUAGCCUGGUUUCCCAUUGAGGCUAAGCAGGGUUGAGUCUGGUCAGUACCUGUUUGGGAGAUUUCCUGGGGAAAACUAAGGCUGCUGCUGGAA
rnacentral:rRNA from 1 species